rnacentral:lncRNA from 1 species
AAAAUUUAUCACCACUCGCGUUAUCAUGAGAUCUAAGUUUUUAGGUUAAUGAUGUACGAGAUCCUUAUCAUUGACAAAUUAAUAACGUGAAAGAUUUUCUCUUAAGUGCAUCCAGUUUUUCUUUUAAACUUUUUUAUCCUUUACAUCCCUUUUGUAUGAUUAGAUAUUGAAAUACCUACACGAAAAAAAUAAGUUGGUAGUUGAAAAUUGAAUGUUCCAACCGACGACAUUGGAGAUAGCAUGACACAUUCAGAUAAGCAUGACGCCUUCAGAUGAGCAGAAACUAAUACCAACUUCAAACCCAUGACAAAAAUUGAUAAAAUUGUUGUAAUGCUGCAUGCAUCGUUCUAUCUUUUCUCACGGGCAUUAAUUCGUUUGAUUUCCAAUUUGAUCCAACUUUUAGAAAUAUUGGAACUGUUGAUUUUCGAGCAAGAAUUAACAUAAAAAGUUGCAAAUCUAAAUUUAAACGCAUACCCGGAUUAUAUGCGGAAAACCAAUAAACCAAGGUUGUGCUACUGAUUUAUGGUCGGAGAAUGAUCACAAAGUCGGAAAAUCCUCUAUAUUCACGUUGCUAGAACCUUCUAAACUUCUCUUGACUUGAAUUUUCUCUAAAUUGCACUUUUCCUUAUUCUUUGCUUUGCUUAACUUAUUUUCUCUAUGGAUUUGCCUUCUAUUUAUAGCAUUCCAAGAGUAGUGAUCAUCUUCUCAAUGAUCAUUAAAUAAGCUUAAACAAUUGUAGGAGUGAUCAUCUUCUUGAUAAUCACUUAAUAUCUUUCAAUAUAAUAUCGUAAGAUAUUAGAGAGUUCUAACUUAAAAUGAUCACUUGCUCUUAAAUGGUUUUUCCAUUAUUUUUCUGGGAGUAAAAGUUUCUUUCGUGCCAAUAUCUAAUUAUUCACCCAAUCAUUGAUUGAUACAGAAUAAUAUUAUGUUUUCUGCAUAGUACAUAAAUAUCCAUUCAUACGCGUCUGAUGAUAUUAUCUCUCCAAACAUUAUUUUUUAAAUUUAUGAUAAGAAUGCUUAACAACUAAUUAAGUCUCUAUUUAGUGUGGUAUCGUGAAGGAAAAUUUUAAUUGUUAUAAUUUUCAGAGCUUUUUUUUAAAAAUAAAAAUAGUUGUGCGUUAAACAAUAUUUAUUAAAAUUUAUUACCACUCGCAUUAUCAUGAGAUCUAAAUUUUUAGGUUAAUGAUGUACGAGAUCCUUAUCAUUGACAAAUUAAUAACGUGAAAGAUUUUCUCUUAAGUGCAUCCGGUUUUUCUUUUAAAUUGUUUUAUUCUUUACAUCCCUUUGUAUGAUUAGAUAUUGAAAUACCUACACGAAAAGAAUAAGUUGGUAGUUGAAAACUGAAUGUUCCAACCGGCGACAUUGGAGAUAACAUGACAUAUUCAGAUAAGCAUGACGCCUUCAGAUGAGCAGAAACUAAUAUCAACUUCAAACCCAUGACAAAAAUUGUUGUAAUGUUGCAUGCAUCGUUCUGUCUUUUCUCACGGGCAUUAAUUCGUUCGAUUUCCAAUUUGAUCCCACUUUUAGAAAUAUCGGAACUGUUGAUUUUCGAGCAAGAAUCAACAUAAAAACUUGCAAAUCUAAAUUUAAACACAUACCCGGAUUAUAUGCGGAAAACCGAUAAACCAAGGUUGUUCUACUGAUUUAUGGUCGGAUAAUGAUCACAAAGUCAGAAAAUCCUCUCUAUUCACGUUGCUAGAACCUUAUAAGCUUCUCUUGACUUGAAUUUUCUCUAAAUUGCACUUUUCCUUAUUCUUUGCUUUGAUUUGC